rnacentral:sRNA from 1 species
AGAAAAUGUUUUCAGACUGCUCAUUUCUAUGUGGAAGACAGCAGUUCACCUCGAGUGGUCCCUAAUGAAAGUAUUCCUAUUAUUCCUAUUCCGGAUGACAUGGAAGCCAUUCCUGUCAAACAGUUUGUCAAACACAUCGGUGAGCUCUAUUCUAAUAACCAGCAUGGGUUCUCUGAGGAUUUUGAGGAAGUCCAGCGCUGUACUGCUGAUAUGAACAUCACUGCAGAGCAUUCCAAUCAUCCAGAAAACAAGCACAAAAACAGAUACAUCAACAUUUUAGCAUGUGAGUAAUAAGCUUUAAACUACCUUCAACUGCGAGGAAAUUAAAUUUUCAUGCUGGGUGUAAGCUGAAAGCCGAGCAAUCAGAAGCAGGAUGCCAAGAAAGAAUGAUUCUUGCAAGCUAACCUCUUAUUAGCCCAUCUUCAACAGUGUAGAAGUUGGGACAUUUUCUUCCCCCUUAGCCUUUCAUUAGGCUGUCAGAGCUCAGCGAGCUUAAUAAGGUGACUGAAAGAAAAUGUUUGGAGCUUCGCUAUUUUCACAUGAAGUGAUGUCAUAUCACAUGUUGGGAGCCAAAAUUUGAAUGUCACUUGGUUAUACUGACAUUGUUUUUAACCUGUAAGGGCCAAAUCUUUUAAUACAAAUGAAAAUAUUGGGAAUUGAAUCAAGCAAGCUGAAUUUCAAAGCAUUCUUUCAAAGACUACAUAAUUGGCUUGUACCUUAAAUGAUGAGCCUCCAGGCCUUUUGGUCCAUGUGCUUACUCGUCUCUAUCACAUUUCCAUGGUCAGGAAUAUUCUGUAGGUUAGGUACUCAAACAAAUGGACAUUCUUCAUACAGAGCCUCAAGGAAUACCCUAG